CGGCGUGCUUAACACAUGCAAGUCGAGCGGUAAGGCUCCUUCGGGAGUACACGAGCGGCGAACGGGUGAGUAACACGUGAGCAAUCUGCCCUUCACUUUGGGAUAACUACCGGAAACGGUGGCUAAUACCGAAUACGACAACUCCAGGCAUCUGGUGGUUGUGGAAAGUUCUGGCGGUGAAGGAUGAGCUCGCGGCCUAUCAGCUUGUUGGUGAGGUAAUGGCUCACCAAGGCUUCGACGGGUAGCCGGCCUGAGAGGGUGACCGGCCACACUGGGACUGAGACACGGCCCAGACUCCUACGGGAGGCAGCAGUGGGGAAUAUUGGACAAUGGGCGAAAGCCUGAUCCAGCAACGCCGCGUGAGGGAUGACGGCCUUCGGGUUGUAAACCUCUUUCAGCAGGGACGAAGCGAAAGUGACGGUACCUGCAGAAGAAGCACCGGCCAACUACGUGCCAGCAGCCGCGGUAAUACGUAGGGUGCGAGCGUUGUCCGGAAUUAUUGGGCGUAAAGGGCUCGUAGGCGGUUUGUCACGUCGGGAGUGAAAACCAGGUGCUUAACACCUGGCCUGCUUCCGAUACGGGCAGACUAGAGGUAUGCAGGGGAGAACGGAAUUCCUGGUGUAGCGGUGAAAUGCGCAGAUAUCAGGAGGAACACCGGUGGCGAAGGCGGUUCUCUGGGCAUUACCUGACGCUGAGGAGCGAAAGUGUGGGGAGCGAACAGGAUUAGAUACCCUGGUAGUCCACGCCGUAAACGUUGGGCGCUAGGUGUGGGACUCAU
rnacentral:rRNA from 1 species